GGAGGGGCCUGUGUGGAAGCAGGGGGCCUCUGCGGCUGUCCCUGCCAGAGGCGCCUGGUCUAGGAAGGCAGGCAGAGCGGGAGCGAGGUAAGCAGCGUGGGGUAAACAGCGUGGGCUGCGGCUCAUUGUGCAGCGGGGGGAGGAAGAGUCCGGACGUGUUCCCUUGGAGGUGCCUGCGAGAGCACAUACAGAUCGGCCUGGAUGGGAGCCGGAGGGCUUGGAGAGAAAGGACACGGGUCUGGAGUGGCCCUGGGGCCCCUACACUCAGAGUUGGAGACCAACAGGCCAGUCCAGGGACCCCGUGGACCAACUGAACUAACUUCAUGUUCUUUGGCCACCUGCACCGCUCCACCCGUGGGCGCCGCCGGCUGCCCCUCAGGUCUUGUGGUCUGUUAUGCUAACAUGCUCGCCUGGCUCCUGACGGCAGGCAGGUGCUGCCACCUGGCCCCGUCAGGGUGCGCUCCCGUCUCUCCACUGCUGCGAGGGAGCCCCUUCUGCAGCAGCGUCGCCUGCCUGCCGUCAUCCUGUGUGGACAGGCUUACAUGUAUGCCAGCACCCCAGCAGGGCCUCCACCCGCCACCCGCCACCGUGCUGGCCCAGGGCCAGGGCCACCGAGAGCCGGCUCCAAAAUCCUGUCUGCUGUCUGCCUCCCGGGACUGCUCCGGCCCCAGCCGUCUCAGGACCACACGACAGCAUCCUGACCAGCCCGUAUUGUUGGGCGCUCCAGUCGCUGCAGUGCUGGAAAGUCUCGUCACCUCUUCAGAGCAGGGCCACACCACACCUCCAUGGGGCGGCAGUCCUGGGGAGACGGAGCUCCGUGAGCCUGUGAGCCCCAGAGCCCCGACAGCUGACGGCUCGCAUGGCGAGGAUGCUGAGCAGAGGACAGUGCUCCCAGGCCUAGAUGACAUCACGGACCCCAGGGACCCGCCUGUCAGUGGAGGAGGAACAUGCAGGUUGUCCAGCCCCCUGGAGCCUGGCCUGGGUUCCUGCUGCCCUGCUGUCUCUCUAGAACAGUUCAGGGGGGUCCUUUCCAUCCUAACAGCGUUCUGACAUCUGCAGAAUCUGGGAGGCAUCAAGGGCCUGGCCGGCUGCUAACAUAUCAGGUUCCCACAACAGUUUGACUAGGUAUCUAUCAUACUUCCGAUUUCAUGGAUGAGGGAACCAAAGUCCAGAGAGGCUGAGGAACUUCAAGGCUCCAUAGCUACUCACGGAUGGAGAUGAGACUUAAACAGAGCUCAUCAUUAUUGACCAGGACGCUGCACGGUGAGGUUCUGGAGAUCCUGAACAUGUCCGCCUCACCUUUCAUCUACUUAGGCAUCUUUGAACUUCGAUAUCACAGUCCUGACCUGUGACCAGCCGGCUGAGUGUGGGCCCUGGCCUGGGCCAGGGUUUGGAGCUGGGCUCCGCCUCUCACCAGCUGUGGGCUCUCGUGCACAUUACUUAACCUUUCUGUGCCUCCGUUUCCUCCAUCGGCGGUUUGGGGAUGUUUGGGAUUACGUGAGUUAAUACCCGUAAAGUGCU
rnacentral:lncRNA from 1 species